CUAGCACUGACUGCGAGCCACGGCCCCACUCAAUUAAAAUGGGGAGGAUGGAGGAUGAGGGGGGAUUCUCAACCUGUACUCAUCAUCUAAGCAUCUGAACCACUUCUGAAGCAUAUGACUAGUAUGAGGGGUAUGGCUUCUGUCAAAGUCCCAUGAUUCUGCCUUGCCUGUUUUGCUGUGCCCUUGCACCCCAAUCUCAUACCCGAUGCUGGAGCUGAGUUCAGUGGACAUCCCAGCCCAAUUGCCCACUUGAUGUAGCAGCUGGAUUCAACACCGUGGCUGGAAGGUUUGGUGUGUCACCCCUUUUAAACAUAUCCUAAGGACUCUAAAGCUUUUCCAUGAGCAUGGGUGCCCUUAUUCAGGAGUCUUGCAAUAAAGUGGGUCUCUUGUGGAGGAAGAACAUGCAAAUGAACCUUUCAGGAGACUAGUUGUCAAGAUCAUAGGAUCAUCCUGUGAUCAAAAAAUGACUGAAAGGUUGGUCAGAAUGAAGGCAGCUUAUUUCUGAGGUGAAUAUUCACAAGGAAAUGGAAAAAGGUUUCUUCCCUACACCUCCAAGCCCCAGGAGUUUUCUGAUUUCUGUUUAACUUCUGAGAAUUUUCAGGGCUUUGAGUAGAAGAGGUAGCAAGUUUUGAAAGUAAUUGCUUCACUCAGGGAGAAUAUUACUGGUCUGAAACACAAACGCUUGUUGGAGGAUGUUGGGCAUAUUCUUCAUGCAACAUUUUCUGGACUUAGCGACCAUUAUCCUGAUAGGCGAUUACGGAUUGCCAGAGAGCAGUGCUAUUCUCAGAUCAGACUGCCAAUUUUGUAGGAUAUGAAAGAUAAGCAGAGACAGGGACAAGAUUUUCACCAUGGAGAUGCCCUUCUAAUCAACACUGUAGCCUUUAUAACAACUUCAUAAUGGAAGAUACAGCCAGCAAAUUUUGAUUUCAGCUGCCGGGAAGUUUUAUCCACCUGGUCACUGUUUGGCCAGUAAUAUGCCACUGUUGUACUGCUUCACUGAUUACCCUUGCUUCCACAAAGGAAAAGCAAGUGAAGGUGCUCAUAUCUAGCUGAGCCUUCUGUCAGAGAUAACAGGGCUCCACAGAGAGGAAGACGACAGAGGAAAAGCACAAGUUCAUCAGCUAGGAGGAGAACUACCAGUCCUGUAACACCCACAGCAUCUUCUCCAAGGCACGAUAUCUGACACCGCCAUCUGUCUGCAUCUUCUUCUAACACAAGCUGUACCUUCACAGCAGAGGAUGCCUUAAGUCAGCAGGCAGCCAAGGACAAGCCAUGAAGUAUAAAAUUAUAUUACAGAACUGGGUGCAUUCCUUUCUACUUAUGCACCUACUUGUGAUCAUUAUGCUCACUUCUGCAACAAGGAGCAACUCCUUACCACCUGGAAUCAGGUACAGUGGGAUAUGAAAGAUGCUCUGUUCUGGCAGAUCAAUGAGUCUGAACAGUAGGUACUGGAAGACUGUCGUCUCUACUGGGAAACGGCAUUUUCUGUGAAAGGCAAUGGUAAUUCUCACAGAGAGGAAUAGGUCUUGAAUAAAAGAGGAUUUUAGAUAACAAGUAGGUUAUGUAAAAUCUCAUUAAAUUAAGGGGACCUUUUCUGGGUAUUGCUUCAGUGAGAGGAAGGUAUUAAAAAAGAACGCAGCU